ensembl:lncRNA LINC03071 long intergenic non-protein coding RNA 3071
GGAAAGGGUUCACACAUAUAAUCCCAGCACUUUGGGAGGCUGAGGUAGGAAGAUCGCUGGAACCCAGGAGUUCAAGACCAUCCUGGGUAAGAUAACAGCACCUCAGAGAAGAUUUGGAAAAUAAAUGAGCUGAUGAGAGCAAUUUUCUGCUUCCUGGGCCACCACAGUCUUCUUUGCUGUUUUUGAUUGCAACCAUUUUCAGAGAAGAAUCAACACCAAAGAUUACAUGUAUAUAAAUUACCUAGUAACGAGCAUGACCUCUGUCCAAGCAGAAGGCAAGCAGGGGAGAAGAUUUAGCUGCUCAACUACAGUUAUUCUCUCAACCCAAGCUAAGGUAGUUGGUGCCAUACAUUUCCCACAGGACUACUAUUUUCCAAUAUCAACAUCUUUAAUUUAUUUAUUUAUUUUUGUUUUAGUGCACUAGCUGGAAGUUUCGAUAUAAUGUUAAAUACAAAGGAUGAGAGUAAAUAUUCUUACAUUUUUCCUGGUCUUAUGAAGAAAGAAUUUUCUUUCACCAUUAAGUAUUAUGUUGUCUGUAGGUUUUUCACAUAUGUUCAUAGUGGGUUGAAGCACUCUCUUUUUAGUCCUAGCUGAGAGUUUUAGGUUAAGAAUAAGUAUUAUUUAUUAUUAUUAUUAUUUAUUUAUUAUUAUAAAUAAAAUACAUUUAUUACAUUAAA